UGCUGAGGUAGGUAGAAUUAGUCUUUCAUAAGGAAGAUCCUCUCAUUGUUUAUGCAAUAGCAAGUGAUUGGCUCUGCAAAUGAACACAAACAACACUAAGUGAACUCAGAUGAGGGUGGAGUAGAUGCAGUUGAGCUCAGAGAUGUUGGAUAUGCUACAGAUUGCCAGCAUGAUACUAACCCUUACCUCCACCGAAGGACAAAGCAGCUUGGUCGCAGAUGAGGAGAACUUUGGCUUCUUUACAAUCUCCUUUGACAGAAUCUCCAUGUACCAGCUUUCCAGCUCAAUAAACUGCAUUCACAAUGGA